AGGUUUGGCACCUCGAUGUCGGCUCAUCGCAUCCUGGGGCUGUAGUCGGUCCCAAGGGUUGGGCUGUUCGCCCAUUAAAGCGGUACGCGAGCUGGGUUCAGAACGUCGUGAGACAGUUCGGUCCCUAUCCGUCGUGGGCGCAGGAAAUUUGAGAGGCGCUGUCCUUAGUACGAGAGGACCGGGAUGGACAUACCCCUGGUGGACCAGUUGUCGUGCCAACGGCAUUGCUGGGUAGCUAUGUAUGGACGGGAUAAGUGCUGAAAGCAUCUAAGCAUGAAGCCCCCCUCAAGAUGAGAUUUCCCCAUUAGAUCCCUCAGAGAUGAUGAGGUGGAUAGGUUCGGCGUGUACGUGUGGUGACACAUUCAGCGGACGAAUACUAAUCGAUCGAUGACUUAUUCAAG
rnacentral:rRNA from 1 species